rnacentral:tRNA from 1 species
UGGUUUUUAGCUCAACGGUAGAGCAGCGACGUAGUAAGCCGCAGAUUCGGGUUCGACUCCCGAAAAACCGC